rnacentral:rRNA from 1 species
AACUAACGCUGGCGGCGCGUCUUAAACAUGCAAGUCGAACGGUAGUCCUUGAGCUUGCUUAGGGAUGAGAGUGGCGAACGGGUGAGUAACACGUGGAUAAUCUGCCUCCGGGUUGGGGAUAACUGUCCGAAAGGAUAGCUAAUACCGAAUGAGAUGGUGGUUACAUAAGUAGCAGCCAUUAAAGGUGGGGACCGCAAGGCCUACUGCCUGGAGAUGAGUCCGCGGCUGAUUAGCUUGUUGGUGGGGUAACGGCCUACCAAGGCGACGAUCAGUAGCCGGCCUGAGAGGGUGAACGGCCACAUUGGGACUGAGAUACGGCCCAGACUCCUACGGGAGGCAGCAGUUAAGAAUCUUGCACAAUGGGCGCAAGCCUGAUGCAGCGACGCCGCGUGAAUGAUGAAGGCUUUCGGGUUGUA